GGGCGAGUGGUGGAAUGGUAGACACGCAGUCUUCAGAAGGCUGUCCCUGCAAAACGGGGGUGGAGGUUCAAAUCCUCUCUCGCCCACCA
rnacentral:tRNA from 3 species